GAAGAAGAUGAGGAAAAAGAUCAAAGUCUUGAGCUCAUGAUGGCUCAUG
rnacentral:sRNA from 1 species